rnacentral:rRNA from 1 species
AGAGUUUGAUCCUGGCUCAGGACGGACGCUGGCGGCGCGCCUAAUACAUGCAAGUCGAGCGAGAACCAGGGCUUGCCCUGGGGAGAGCGGCGAACGGGUGCGUAUCACGUGAGCAACCUGCCUCGGAGACCGGAAUAACUCGAGGAAACUCGGGCUAAUGCCGGAUGCCCUCACUGGACCGCAUGGUUCGGUGAGGAAAUGGAUUCCGCUCCGAGAUGGGCUCGCGGCCUAUCAGCUUGUUGGUGGGGUAACGGCCUACCAAGGCAACGACGGGUAGCUGGUCUGAGAGGACGAUCAGCCACACUGGGACUGAGACACGGCCCAGACUCCUACGGGAGGCAGCAGUAGGGAAUCUUGCGCAAUGGGCGAAAGCCUGACGCAGCGACGCCGCGUGCGGGAUGAAGGCCUUCGGGUCGUAAACCGCUUUCAGCAGGGACGAAAUUGACGGUACCUGCAGAAGAAGGCCCGGCCAACUACGUGCCAGCAGCCGCGGUGAUACGUAGGGGUCUAGCGUUGUCCGGAAUCAUUGGGCGUAAAGAGCUCGUAGGCGGUUCGGCAAGUCGGAUGUGAAAUCUCCACGCUCAACGUGGAGGGGCCAUUCGAAACUGCCGUGACUCGAGUCCGGUAGGGGAGUUCGGAAUUCCCGGUGUAGCGGUGAAAUGCGCAGAUAUCGGGAGGAACACCAGUGGCGAAGGCGGAACUCUGGGCCGGAACUGACGCUGAGGAGCGAAAGCGUGGGGAGCGAACAGGAUUAGAUACCCCAGUAGUCC